UACGUAGGGACCAAGCGUUGUUCGGAUUUACUGGGCGUAAAGGGCGCGUAGGCGGCGCGGUAAGUCACUUGUGAAAUCUCUGAGCUUAACUCAGAACGGCCAAGUGAUACUGCAGUGCUAGAGUGUGGAAGGGGCAAUCGGAAUUCUUGGUGUAGCGGUGAAAUGCGUAGAUAUCGGAAGGAACAUCAGUGGCGAAAGCGACUUCCUGGACCAGUACCGACGUUCAGGCACGAAAGCGUGGGGAGCAAACAGG
rnacentral:rRNA from 1 species